rnacentral:rRNA from 1 species
UGGGGAAUAUUGCACAAUGGGCGGAAGCCUGAUGCAGCGACGCCGCGUGAGGGAUGACGGCCUUCGGGUUGUAAACCUCUUUCAGCAGGGACGAAGCGUAAGUGACGGUACCUGCAGAAGAAGCGCCGGCCAACUACGUGCCAGCAGCCGCGGUAAGACGUAGGGCGCGAGCGUUGUCCGGAUUUAUUGGGCGUAAAGAGCUCGUAGGCGGCUUGUCGCGUCGACCGUGAAAACUUGGGGCUCAACCCCAAGCCUGCGGUCGAUACGGGCAGGCUAGAGUUCGGUAGGGGAGACUGGAAUUCCUGGUGUAGCGGUGAAAUGCGCAGAUAUCAGGAGGAACACCGGUGGCGAAGGCGGGUCUCUGGGCCGAUACUGACGCUGAGGAGCGAAAGCGUGGGGAGCGAACAGGAUUAGAUACC